GUGCCAGCAGCCGCGGUAAGACGAACCGUGCAAACGUUGUUCGGAAUCACUGGGCUUAAAGGGCGCGUAGGCGGGCCGCCAAGUCUGUGGUGAAAGCCUCCAGCUCAACUGGAGAAGUGCCGUGGAUACUGGCGGCCUCGAGGAGGGUAGGGGCAUCUGGAACAGUAGGUGGAGCGGUGAAAUGCGUUGAUAUCUACUGGAACUCCGGUGGCGAAGGCGAGGUGCUGGACCCUUUCUGACGCUGAGGCGCGAAAGCCAGGGGAGCAAACGGGAUUAGAAACCCCUGUAGUCC
rnacentral:rRNA from 1 species